CAAAAACAUUGCUUCAUGAAACACAUAUGAAGUAAUUCCUGCCCAGUGAUUCAACGGCCGCGGUAUCCUAACCGUGCAAAGGUAGCAUAAUCACUUGCCCAUUAAUUGUGGGCUGGAAUGAAAGGACUAACGAAAUAAGGACUGUCUCUGUAUGUUUCAUAAAAAUUAAUCUCUAACUGAAGAGUGUUAGAUAAUGUUGAAGGACAAGAAGACCCUAUAGAGCUUUAUUUUUAAAGGUAUGUAACCCUCAAAAAUUCGGUUGGGGCGACCAGGGAAAAAUUAAUCAUCCCUUAAUAUUAGAUAAAUAUAUCCAACUCUUGACCCUUUUAAGAUCAUAAAAUCAAGCUACCUUAGGGAUAACAGGCUAAUCCCACUAAAGAGUCCUUAUCAAUAGUGGGGUUUGGCACCUCGAUGUUGGCUUAGGGAAUCCAUGUGGCGCAAAAGUCACAUAACGAUGGUUUGUUCAACCAAUAACCCCUACAUGAUCU
rnacentral:rRNA from 1 species